GCGACGGCGAGCCACGCAGCCGCGUUAAGUCGUAGGGUCCGAGGUUGUGACGGAAUGAUUGGGCGGAAAGGGCUCGUAGGCGGUUAGUCUCUGCGGGAGUGAAAACUCAGGGCUCAUCCCUGAGCGUGCUUCCGAUACGGGCUGACUAGAGGUAUGCAGGGGAGAACGGAAUUCCUGGUGUAGCGGUGGAAUGCGCAGAUAUCAGGAGGAACACCGGUGGCGAAGGCGGUUCUCUGGGCAUUACCUGACGCUGAGGAGCGAAAGCAUGGGGAGCGAACAGGAUUAGAUACCCUUGUAGUC
rnacentral:rRNA from 1 species